rnacentral:rRNA from 1 species
GAUGAACGCUGGCGGCGUGCUUAACACAUGCAAGUCGAACGGAAAGGCUCCUGCUUGCAGGGGUACUCGAGUGGCGAACGGGUGAGUAACACGUGGGUGAUCUGCCCUGCACUUCGGGAUAAGCCUGGGAAACUGGGUCUAAUACCGGAUAGGACGAUGGUUUGGAUGCCAUUGUGGAAAGUUUUUCGGUGUGGGAUGAGCUCGCGGCCUAUCAGCUUGUUGGUGGGGUAAUGGCCUACCAAGGCGUCGACGGGUAGCCGGCCUGAGAGGGUGUACGGCCACAUUGGGACUGAGAUACGGCCCAGACUCCUACGGGAGGCAGCAGUGGGGAAUAUUGCACAAUGGGCGCAAGCCUGAUGCAGCGACGCCGCGUGGGGGAUGACGGCCUUCGGGUUGUAAACUCCUUUCGCUAGGGACGAAGCGUUUUGUGACGGUACCUGGAGAAGAAGCACCGGCUAACUACGU